UGAUUAAUUAAUUAUUAUUUAUCUUACUGUGUAUUUAUUUUUAUGAAAUAUCAAUAUUUAUUAGUAUUCUUUAUAGAAAUUUUUUAUUUAAUUAUAGUUAAUUGUAUUGUAAAAGUUAUUAUUGAGUUUUUAGGAAGUUGAUUUUAUUUAUUGUACCUUUUGUAUCAGGGUUUAUUAAUUAAUUAUUAUUUAUCUUAAUAUUUCCCGAAAUUUAAGGAGUUAAAAAUUAAUGAUUUUAUAUGUUUCAUAAUAUUAUUUAAUUAAUUUUUAGUGGUUAUAUGCUAUUCAUCUUAUUUAUAUCUGGUUUUUUAAUAUUUAAAUUUAAUUUAAAAUUCAUUUAUCUAUUUUUAAUUUUAUUAUUUAUAGUUUAAUGAAUUUAAUAUUGUGGGGGAUAAGCUCUGCAUUAUAUUUAUAAUAUUUUAUUUAUAAAAUUUAUGUAGGCUUAAUAACAGCCAUCUUUAAUUUCGUUAUAGUUUAAAUUUUUUAUUAUUUUAUUUUGUUUAUAUUUAAUUUUUUAUUAAAAUGGUUACUUUAUUUUUUACUGUUACUUAAUAAUGAUAAAAUUAGUAGUUUAGUAAUUUUAAAUAUAGGAAUUCGGCAAUUUUUAUAUUCGCCUGUUUAACAAAAACAUGUCCUAUUGAAUAAUUUAAUAUUAGGUCUGGCCUGCUCAAUGAUUAAUAUUAAAUAGCCGCAGUAUAUUGACUGUGCAAAGGUAGCAUAAUCAUUUGUCUCUUAAUUGGGGGCUUGUAUGAAUGGUUGGACGAAAUAUAGACUUUCUUUAUUUAAAUUUUAUGAAUUUAAUAUUUUAGUGAAAAAGCUGAAAUGUUUUUAUGGGACGAGAAGACCCUAUAGAAUUUUAUUUUAUUUAUUUAUAUAAAUUUUAUGUUUUUAUAUUUUUAUAUAUUUAUUAGAAUUUGAUUGGGGUGAUUAUGAAAUUAUAUUAACUUUCAUUUAUUAAUUUUCAUUAAUUGGUGUAUUUUUGAUCCUUUAUUAUGGAUUAUAAGAUUAAAUUACCUUAGGGAUAACAGCGUAAUUCUUUUGGAGAGUUCUUAUCGAUAAAAGAGUUUGCGACCUCGAUGUUGGAUUAAAAUUAUAUUUGGGUGUAGAAGCUCAAUUUUUAGGUCUGUUCGACCUUUAAUUUUUUACAUGAUCUGAGUUCAGACCGGCGUGAGCCAGGUUGGUUUCUAUCUAUAAUUUAUUUUAAUAUUUUAGUACGAAAGGACCAUUUAUUAAUAAUAUUUAUUUAUUUCUUGAUUAAUAUUAAA
rnacentral:rRNA from 1 species